CAUUUAAAUAACUUCAAAUACACACUUCAGCCCUGAGUGGGAAUUAGUGAACUGAUCACCUGAGCCUGAGGAGACUUCAGCUUCUUGAUGAGUGGCCCCUGAUCUGAGAUCUCUUACACAGCCAUUCACAGGUUCAGACACAGGAACUACACACAGGGCCCCAUCUCAUGGCCUGGGUAUCAGGCCUGUGGCAUCAGAGAAGGGAAAACUAAUCUAAGAGGACUCUGGCUUCUUGAUGAGUGGCCCCUGGUCUGAGAUCUCUUAUUCUGUCAUUCAGAGGUUCAGACACAGGGCCCCAUCCCAUGGCCUGGGCCUCAGGUCUGUGGCAUCAAAGAAGGGGAAAGUAACUACUGAGUUAGGAAAGCCCUGGUGAGGGAUAGGCUUGUCUAAGUGCAGGGCACUUGCAUAAUCUCUUCCUUCACCUUCAUUCCACCAGAGAGCACUAACUGACAGAAGUGGAAACUGAUGCAGGAAAGUGUUUAAAAACAGGAAUGCAACACCCCUCAGUCAAAAUGUCAUGACUUCUAUUUCUGAAAGUCCAAUCUCCAACUCACACUCUUUCAGCCAACUCUGAAGCUGAUUCCAUCUCCAUAUGGGAUCUGCUUUGAGUUUGGCAGCCAGGAACUUCCUCCUGAUCCACUUGCUCUACUCGACUAAUCUCCCUACUGUUGUUGUUAUUGUUUUAAUUAGAAUACUAUAUAUGUAAGAGUUUAGCUGUUCAACAUUUUGAUUUGACCUUGUGAAAUCCAAAGUGGAGACAUCCAUUGAACCAACUCAGAUUUCUGACCUGUAGACUGUAAGAUAAUAAAUGGGUUGAUUUAAGCAGCUAGGUUUGGGGUAAUUUGUCAUUAUUGAAUAUAAAACAAAUAGCAACUCCUUCACAUUUUAAGUGAGAAUUUGACUAGAUAUAAAAUUCUUUUCUUCAAUACUUUAGAAAUAAUAUUCCUUUGUCCUCAUGUGACAGGACUCUAUUGCUCUGCUUCUUCUUACUUGUUUUUCGGGGCCAUCUGGGAAGGGAGCCAGAGGCUGUGGGUUUGUCACCUCUUCUGAGUCUACUUGGCUGCUGGUCAUGGUCUCUUGGAGAAAAAGAAGAUGAUGAUGAAGAUAAUUAUGAUUAGGCCACUGGCGACCCCUAUGAUGAUCAUGGAAACAGAUCGGUUACGUGGAGACUGCUCGGAGCACUGCAGGAUCUGGCAGCUGUCAGAGCCCAAGUCCGAGGCCCCGCCCCCAGAAGCACCCAAUUCCCGCAUCUGGCUGUAGCGCCCUCUAUUUGUCACCAUCGUCCUCCCCCGCCCGCCACAGCGCACGCCCUCCUGCUGCCUGGGCCCUGGUGUCCCAGCUGAAUUGUUGUUCAGAUCUCUGUGGUGGCAGAAUCUCCACUUCCUGCAUGGAGGUAGCACUGGGGACCUACUCCCACUGAUCUCCCUUUGAUUUUCAUGAGAUACCUCCCCCCACCUUUCUUUCCCUUGAAAAGAAAAUUCUAAAAAGUAGAUAUCGCAUGAACUUGGAAGGGACUGGACCUGCCACUAUGACUCAGGACGACUUGUGAUAGAGACUUCUAUGCUGGGCAAAGGGGCCUCAAGGAGUUCAGGGCAAUUCCUCCCUGGAAACGCACAACACCUCUCCUGGAGUCCAGAAGUGAAUGCCACCCGCAGCGGGAAAACGCACACCCUUUCACAGUGGCUCUUUGGUGCUCCUGGGCCUCUAGAGACUCUCUAGCCCCCCUCCCCCUCCAAGGAGUGAAGUCAGAAGUGGCAUCUGGAACCUGUACCAAGCCUUCUUGCUCUCUACUGCCAUCUCGCUCCCUCCCAUCCUCCUGCCUUUACCCUUUCCUCUCUCUUUGGCUCCCUGGUCUAACUCGGUCUGUGGCUCCCUCCGCAGGUGCCGGGACAAGCGCCUGAAGCAGGGCACGCACCUGAGGGGCAGAGCCCGCAGGGGAGGUCUGGGGACUGAGAAGGGGACAGAGGUGUCCCCGUAAGUUCGAUUCCUCAACUCACCCGCUGGCGCCCUCCAAAGAAAGUAAGGCGGGAGCAGAGCCUGAACGCUAAGAAUGAGAGUAGCUGAGACUACACCUACCAUCCUUAAGAAGCCCAGGAGCAGGGCAGGACCCGGGCAGCUGUCUGAGCCUUUUAAGUCCGAGGCCCCGCCCACAGCAGCGCCCAAUUCCCGCGUUUGGCUGUAGCUCCGCCUAUUUGUCACCAUCCUUCCUGCCCCGCCCUCCAAAGCGCACGCCCUCCUGCUGCCUGGGGCCCGGUGUCCCAGCGGAAUCACGGGAACAUCGUUCAGAUUACGAUGGUGGCACUGGGGACCUACACUAAGCCAUCUCGCUGUCUUCUGCCAUCUCGCUCCCUCGCAUCCUCCUGCCCUUACUUUUUUGUCUCUUUUCCGCUCCCUGGGCUACCGCGGUCCCGCCGCUCCCACCGCAGCUGCAAGAUCGAGAACCUGCUGCGAUGAAGUGUGACCCAGAGCCCGCAGGAGAAGCCUGGGGAAUAAAGUGGGGACGGCGGUGUCCCCACAAGUUCGAUCCCGCAACUCACCGUCUGGCACCGCCCAAAGAAAGUCAGGCUGGAGUAGAGCCUCGAUGAUAAGAAUCAGAGUAGCGCAGACUACACCUGCCAUAGUUAGGGAGCUCUUGAUCACCGUGGGACCUUGGCCGCGGUGAGAGCUUUUAAAGUCCCAGGGCCCGCCCCCCAGCAAUGCCCGCCUCCUGCGUUGGACGUAACUCCACUCUUCUUCCCCUCCCCCGCGCCCUCCAGCUGCCAGGACACAGUACUGUUUCAGAAUCGCUGCUGUGGAUGGAUCUGGUGCAUGUUCCGCUUCCUUGGUGACACUGGGGACCUAUACCAAGCUAUCUCGCUCCCUCCCAUCUGCCUGCCCUAACUUUUUCCUCUCUUUUCCGCUCCCUGGGCUACCUUGGUCCCAGGGCUCCAACCGCAGGCUCAGAGGGAGAACCUGCUGUGGACCAGAGGGACAAAGCCCUCAGGGAAAGUCUGGGGAGUGAGGAGAGGAUGGAGGUGUCCCCGUAUGUUGGAUCCCUCAACUCACCGGCCCGCACAGAGCAAAGAACUUAAGGCGGGAACAGAGCCUGGAUGGUAUGAAUGAGAAUAGCGGGUUCUGCACCUGCCAUCCUUCAGGAGCUCUGGAGCGCUGCUGUACCUGGGCAGCGAUCAGAGCCUUCAAUGGUCGAGUCCCGACACCCGCCCUCACCCCCGCAGGUAGCACCCUGCCUCCGGCAUCUGGCCAUAGUUUCGCCCCCUAGUAUUCCCCCGCCUGGUCUCCGUGUCCUUACAGAAUCAUAGUUCGGAUCACCUCUGUGGCUGGACCCUGCACGAGUCCCACUUCUUGUAUGGAAGUGGCACUGGGGAUUUACAACAAGCCAUCUGUAUCUCUCCUGCCAUCUCGCCCCCUCCCAUCCUCCUGCCCUUUUUCCUUUCUUUUCUGCUCCCUGGGCUACCUGGGUCCCAGUGCAGAUGCAGGGUUGAGAACCUGCUGCGAGGAGGUGAACUGGGGCACCUAACCUGCAGGGGAAGUAUGGGGAGUGUGGAGGGGACGAAAGUGUCCCCAUAAGUUCGACUUUCCAACUCUACAGCUGGCACCGCUCAAAGAAAGAAAGGUUAGAAUGGAUGCUAAGAAUGAGAGUAAGUAGGCCUGCACUGGCCAGGGUCACUGUGCUGGAGAUCAUCCGGAGACCUCCUCAGGGAAAAGAGCCUUUGAAGCCUGAGGCCCCGCCCCCUGUACCACUCCCCUCCCUGUCCCCUGCGUCUGAUCGCAGCUCCGCCCCUCGGUCUUUCCGAAGCUGCUUGGCCCAGGGUGUCAUCAACGUCAUCGGGAUCGCUGUGGUGGUAGGAAUUGGCCCUCAUUUCGCUUUCUGCGAUGGUGCGGAGCGGGCGCCCAGGGACUCUGGUUGCCUCCCAGCCACUGGCUUCCGACCUCCUCCUCUCAUUCUCGCGCGGCCCUGGCUAUUACCCGGAGAAGGUGGACCUAAAGCAAAGGAUCCUGGAUUCAUCAUUUGUUUGGUAGCACUUUGAUGGGAAGAAGGUGGCUUGGGCUGUGAGAGGACAUGAUGAUGUGGCCUGUGGAGUUAAGAUAUUUGGGGCCAUGCAGAAACCUUGCAGCUGGACUGCAGUCUGUCUGAAGACUGGUUUUCCUCCAGUUCACCCUUCCUCUGAGGAUCCAGUUCUUCAGCAAGGAAUUUAUUUUGGUCCCUGCUUUUGGCAAGUCGUGAACUUCAAUAUCUUCUUGCUUUGCCCCAGAAAGCUAUCCAAACCUGCAUGAGUCACUAAGGGAGGUGCCCGUUUGCUGAUCAAAAGACCGCUGACAUCAUAACCAUAGCAAUCUAUCACAACUAGGAAGCCAUCAUGUUAGGCUAGGAAACCACCAUAAUCAGUAUCUCACCACAAUAGCCACAGCUCUAUUGCUGGCUCUGGAAUCACACUGAGCCUGUAAGUAUCUGUACCCUCAGAAUGGAUGCCACAGGCCCUGCUCUCAAUCCUUUCAAGCCAGUGACCACAGCCCAGGACCUCUGUUAAUCGGACAGCAAAGAAACCAUUGUGGCAGCAGGAACAACAGAUGUCUGGCCUCUGCUCCAGUUCUGCCACAUUUGAUUGACAGAAUCUAAAGGCACCUCCAGGAGUUAGGUUGCAAAGGAGUCUGGGAAAUGUAGCAUCUAGCUCUUAUGGUUCCUGUGGUAGAGAAGGUACAGUAGAAAGAAGAAACAAUGAGUGUCCUGCUUCUGUUCCCCCUGUGUACUCUGCAGCUGAAAUGCCAUUUUAGUUAUUGUUUGAAAAUCUACAAAAAUAAUGUUAUAUCUUGCUUAUUGAUUCAUAAUAUAUACCUAGGUACAGUAUAUCCAUACAGCUUUACCUGUAUAUCUCCAUACACAGUUCCCAAAAAUACAGUAAGAUCAGUAGUGAUUUGAAACAUGGGUUCCAGACUCAGCCUGGAUUUCAAGACCUGUGUCUGUGAGUGAUGUGGGUGCCCAUGUUUCCUCAAUCUCUCUCCCAGAUAUUUUAUUUCCCUAUUUAUAAAAUAGGUGUAAGGAGAGUCUACCUUGAAAUACUGUUGCACAUUUCAAUUAAAAUAGUGCAUACAGUAGUCUAAGUGUAGUGCCUGGCUCAUCAUACCAAGAAGUAAACUGCAGCAGAAGAUCUAUUGGUAAAACCAAUGCAUAUCAUCUUGACAGGUCACUUAAUUUUCUUUGGGUCAUUUUUUGUUCUAUUAAAAGACAAUUUAUUUCAUUAAUCUGGGCAAGACAAAUUAGGACCACAAGGAGAAAACAUUAAGAAUCACUAGAUUGGCAAAAUAUGCCGAAAUUGGGCCCUAUUAAGUGCUGGCAAAGUCUGUGCUGGAAGAACACAAACUCAUAUAAUACAGAAGCAAAUGCCAUUAAUAAAUGUACCUUGAAAGACAAUUUAGAUUUUUUUUCAAUAAACUGAAAUGCACAUAUCUCACAACUUCAGUUACACUUCUAGUUACCUAUGUACGAGAAAUUUCUAUGAAGAAAAAUAUUCUAUAUUUUUAAGUUAUGUGCUGUAGUUAUUCAUCUUAUGUUUUUAUUUCUGAUUAAUGUUAUUCUGAAAAAUGUUAUAUUCAUUUGGUACACAAUUAAAUUUUUAUAAUGAAAUAAGACACAUACCCAAAAGUUUUCAAAAAGAAUUCUUACCAUCGUAUUUAAGCAGUAUAAUAAAAAAUAUUGUUUGAUUCAGAA